UGCUUCAGAUGCCAGGUUUCUUUUUACUUGCCCCUCCCCUUCAUUAUUUGUAGAAAUCACAUAGAACUUUAGACUAAAUCAUUUAUUUAGAUGAAAGUUUGCCUUCUCAGCAGAUUGUAUUGAAUUUGCUGUGAUUCAAGUCAGCAAAAUAGAAGUCUUUCUACAGCUUUCACUGUAUGAUGCCCAUGUGUCUCUGUAACAGCAUCAGGUUCUCGCGCAUUGUGGACUUGAAUGUUGCUCCUAUACUUGGGCUAAUAUCCCCACUGUGCCAAGAGGAUCCCAGCAUGAGAGGGAAGCUCACUGUAAUUCUCCAUAAAACUAAAUAACUAAAUAAAUCUGAGUCAGCUCCAAAAAUUAUUACUGAAUUUGUGGUACAAAGAGAUCUAAAUUUGAGAUUGCUGGAAUCUACUCUGUUGAGUUAAGGCUCAGGUUUCUUUCCCUUUCAGUUGGUCCUUUAUAGUCUCUUCCACAGCAUUUUCCUUUCAUACACUCCUCACCUCAAUCACAGAAGAACCCUGCAAUCAUCCAAAAGGACAACACAGCAUGACACAUGCUUGGCCACAGAAAGUCAGGUUUCUCAAUAUAACUUAAAGACUGCCCAGUAUGUGUGUCCAUCUGUUAUCUUGCAGAAAGCAUAUAUCAGAGAACCAACCUAUAAUGUCCAAGGAUCCGAAGAUACAGUUUGUCUGCAUGUACCUCUCUGCCCUUUUGCUGGUUGUCUGCUAGCCUACGACGUCUCCACAAAGCAACUUUGAGACAAUGCAUCUUGUUUAUGAGCUAGAGAAGUUGAGUUGUUUGUUUUAAUCCUUGUUUUAGUAACGAGGAAUGGUGCAAAAAUGUGGUGUCAUUUUUUUUUUUCGUGCCACCAAGAUUGCUAUUCAGCCAGCUCUAUAUGACUGAAUUAAUUUUUUAUCGACCAGAAACACAAGCACUGAGGUCACUUACAUUAUGGUGUGAUACAAAGGAGCCAAAAAUCAGGACGUCUGCCUUCAUUUAUCCCUCACUGAUUCAUAGCAGAGAGCUGGAAGAGUGAACUUCCCUCAGCAUGGUGGGCUGAUUUAUAAGGUGGAAGAAACACCCAGUACUGCUCCAAAGCCUGGGAUUUCUUUGAUUUGUUGCCCCAGCCCCAUCAGCAUUAUGUCACUGAGUUGUUUAUAGUGCUCCCUUUCAUGAGCAGAUGUGCUGUCAGGGCUCACUUACCUCCCAGCCUUUCCUAUUUCCUGGGUAAUGUCUGGAAGGUGACAAUGUUCCUUCCCAUCACUGGUACUGCUCAGGGUGGGCCCUCAUGAGGCUGGGCCCAUGCACGCCUAGCAUCCCCCAAACUGCCUUAUUCUGCCAGGUGGCUCCAAUUGAAGCCAUCUGAACUUAUACCAAGUCAUCCUUUCAAAGAUAUUUUACUUAUUUUUUCUUCCAUUUCAGUGUCUUGGCUGGUCCUGAGUGAAAUUUUCCCUGGUGGGAUCAGGGGACGGGCCAUGGCUUUGACAUCCAGCAUGAACUGGGGAAUAAACCUUCUCAUUUCCUUGACAUUUCUGACUGUGACUGAGCUUAUUGGCUUGUCCUGGGUGUGUUUCAUUUACACAGUAAUGAGCCUAGCAUCCCUGGCUUUUGUUAUUUUGUUUAUACCAGAGACGAAAGGAUGCUCGUUGGAGCAAAUAUCCAUGGAAUUGGCUAAAGAUAAAUACACAAAGACCCGCUUGUGCUGGAUGAGCCAGCGCAGGGAGAAGCUGAUGCCGGUGGAACUACCCAACAGGGAGAAAGAACAGUUCUACUAGAGCUGAGGCAACCAAGGCAGCCUUUGCCAAAAGACUGACUCCGAGAAAAAUUAAUACUGACACUACAAUGGGACACAUGGUAUCUUUGUUAUACACAAGAUAAUCUCUCUCUUAUUUCUUAGUAGAGCUUCUUUCAAUGGUAGUUUAUGGCCAGCAUUAAAAAUUGUUGUAGUUUGUAACUCAUUGGAACACCAGGCUCCAUCUGUUUCAAACCAGAAUCCCUCACCUCCCCUAGGUUACUUUGACACACACAGGAGGUGCAUGGAAGCCAGAAUGCUGUGCACAGUCUUUGUUAUCUAUACUCACCAAGUGCUCAGAGCUGCAAGGAGCUACUGGGUGCCAAGGAGAAGGAAGAAUCUGUCUCACAGGAGAAGACUGCCAAAGACUUAUGUCACUCCAACUCUUUGUUAUUUCUCACCAAAUGUAUCCUAAAUUACUGAACCAGCCUUAUAAAGGGUUAGCUGUAUGGUUCCCAUGAAAUAAGUCUAUUUUUUCCUAAAAGGUUAAUGAACUGUCAUAGAAUGAUGAGUAGAUUUAUACUUAUUAGCAGAUAAGUAAAUGGCCCAAGAACCUGCAAACACUUUAAAAGCAUACUGACUGUCUCAGCAGCCACAUAGUGGCAUUUCUCUCAGCAUUUAAUAGAGGAAGUAAGACUGACAUGGUCAGCUGGAGUACUGAUACUACUUUGGACUAUCCACAUGAUCCCAUUUUAUUUACUGUCUCAUAGCAUUAAAACCACCUGACCAUGUUCUGCACUAAAGGAACUUAACAAUCAAGGUGAAGUUCUACUCCUGGAUAGAUUGAAUCAAUUCUGAUCAGAUUCUGAGACUGUCACACAUUUACACAUUAAUUUUGUAAUUCUAGAGGAGAACACUUAUUCAUACAGUUAGCGUGUGUUCGAAACCUGAAAAGAAACUAUUGACACCAAGGUCAUGAUUUACCGAAGUCACUAGAAAGUUAGCUACCUCAGGACUUUAGCUAUCUACUGGCCAAAUCUAUGCCACAACUUUCUUACACUGUAAGCUUUUAGGGAACUAGUGUCAAAAUCCUGUCGGACUUUUUGUACAAAGAUCAGGCAAGUGGUCAUCACAACACAGGAUUUUUAACUGUGAAGAUCCAGUGUCAUCUAAAACAAUCAAAAAUCUUGAUGCACAUAAGGCUCAGCAAGAUACAGAUUAGGGCACACACAUCAAACAUUAAGUAAAAUCUUCCAGUAAAGGUACAUGUAAGUACUACUGACAUAGUCCUUAAGAAGCAAGAAGCACACACAGGCUACACAAACAGUGGGGCCGUGCACCUAAGUUUGAGGUGAUUCAGGGUGAAGUCUCCUCCAGAAGGAGUAAGCUCAAGGACUUCAGGUUCUCAUUGCUGAAAGAUUAGCCAAGCUGGUAAUAAUGUACAGGAUUCCCAUCCCAAGUUCCAAUUCCACUCUGGACCAGAUGUACUUCCAGCUUUCCCAUAGAUGUGGAAAAGUUUUGUUUCCAUUACUUUGAAUUUUCCAGUAAAAAAUGAAGACCUGCCUAGAAUUUUGUCUGAGCACUACAGUCCCAAUAAAUAACAAGCUGCUAGAAGAGGCAUCUUUGCCACUGCAUAGAAGAGAUCCUGCAGCUAAGAGUCUCCUUGCAUUUUCCUAGCUGCACCAGUAACAGUUUACUCAACACUGCAGCAGUGACAAAGGUAAGUGUAUUCCUGUGUCUACUUCAAAUAGUCACAAAAAUGAUGCAAAAUUUGUGAAAGCUCAGUCACAGAAUAACAAUGCAAGGGUAGCUGGGUUAGAGCCACAGUGAAGAAUAGUUUUGACAAACACUAGUGCCUUAUUACUGGAGAAAAAGAACAACAAAACAUUCUAUAUUGAAAUGCAAAGAUAUUAAAAUAUUGGCUAAACUGUUGGUGCCGUGUAGUGCCUAACGAGUGUGUGUGAAGCCUACUAAGCACUAGGAAAAAAGCAAAAGAUCUGGGAGAUGUUCUCAAGCACCUGUAAACAGCUACUACAGUCCUGCUAAUACUUUAACACUUUUUUUUUUUUUACAUCAACACUGGCAUUUUUUUUAAAUAAAACCUACUAGUUACACCAUUUGUUCUAAACACUUGGCAAGUCAUCUUGUCAAAAAAAAAA